rnacentral:rRNA from 1 species
CGUAGGGGGCGAGCGUUGUCCGGAUUUAUUGGGCGUAAAGAGCUCGUAGGCGGCUUGGCAAGUCGGGUGUGAAACCUCCAGGCUUAACCUGGAGACGCCACUCGAUACUGCCAUGGCUAGAGUCCGGUAGGGGACCACGGAAUUCCUGGUGUAGCGGUGAAAUGCGCAGAUAUCAGGAGGAACACCGGUGGCGAAGGCGGUGGUCUGGGCCGGCACUGACGCUGAGGAGCGAAAGCGUGGGUAGCAAACAGGAUUAGAUACCCUGGUAGUCCACGCCGUAAACGUUGGCACUAGGUGUGGGCCUUAUCAACGGGUUCCGUGCCGUAGCUAACGCAUUAAGUGCCCGCCUGGGAGUACGGCCGCAAGGCUA